ACAGGGUUCUCAAGUUGAGCCUUCUUGCCUCUAAAGCAUCCACAUCAAGGGCCCCAGGGUAGCAGCAGGACUAAGCCAAGACGCCUGCCCUAGAGAAGCGGAGAAGAUGGACUAGGGAGGUUGGAUGCUAUUGAUUGGGUUUCUAACCAAAGAUUGCUCCUCUCAGCCCUGUUCAGCCUCUUCCCUGUAAGGCAAACCCUGAAUUUCCGCUUGCGCAAAGUGUGUAUAAGGUUUCUCCCGAGACAAAAUCAUGUUUUCCUUCUAAUGUGAGGCUUCUCACCUCACCAGCUUCAGUUGCAGAGAACUGGCUUAAAGGAAGUUAGACCACCUCGCUCUCCACAGGGCAACUGCAGCAGCCCCAUGAAGCCAUGAAGUGCAGGACCCACUUCUCAAGGAGGACCAGCCCUCCCCUCCCCAGUGUAGCCACCAGCUGGGGACCCGAUCCCAAAGCUGCAGGGUGUCAGUGGAAUCAGGCUCCUUCCAUCCUCACCUUAAUGGUCAGGAGGGUCAAAGCCUUGCACUGAGCUGCUUUUGAGUUUGAUUUCCCUUUGUGAAGUUCCAAGCGCCUCUCUCCAAAGGGUUCUACUUUACAAGAAAUAUCACGAUGCAGUUCUCACCUUUCCUCCUCUUCCCACCUCUCUGGGGAAUCCGCAGUCUGCAGGGGAAACGAGUCAUCUUCCAUCCUGUGACUGCCCUCAGGUCAGAGGCAGCUGGGAGGAGCCACCCAUGCCUCCUUUUGGUCUCCAAGGCUGAGUCCUGCUCUUUUCAUCCCCAAGGGGAAUGCACAGCUGCAGUACUGCUUGUCAUACUGUUCCAUGCCAAGCACCUCACUGUGGCUGUGAAGGGCAUCAACAGACCUGGCCAGUGGGCACCAGCAGGACUCACCUGUGCACUAAAUUGGCUUGAACUUUUGAAGAAUCAAAGAAUGGUAAGAGCUGGAAUUGUGACCCAGAAGGAGACUGGCCAGGAACCAGGAGGUGCAAAUGGAAAGUGUGCCAAGGUGGCUGUAUUAUACUUUCAACAUCAAAGCAGAACAUAGAAACUUAC
rnacentral:lncRNA from 1 species